GGGGAGAAUUUUCUCUCUGUAUAGGGGCAAGGACAGGGAUGGGCAAUGACUCCUUGUCCACAUCCAACCUUGUUGCCAUUCCCAACAAUGAUACAACAGACUUUAGAAUUUAACUAUAGAAUUCAAGACAAGAUAAGAGCAAAAAAAGAAAUUUGAGGGCUUAAGACAGGAAAAGAAAAUCAUUAAUUCAAAUUCUAAGGCUACUUUAAUAAUAAUAUUAGAGUAGAGAUGAAAGUUGGCCUGAGAUUCCGAUUUUCCCACGGGGAUUCACCCAAAAAGGACAGGAAAUCCCAACCUUUUUC
rnacentral:misc_RNA from 1 species